CCGCUAUAGCUUUCAACGCCCCUCCUUUCGUGGUGUAUCAAAUGAAAGCAAACAUGUAAAUAUUGUUGCUUUUCAUUUUCAGGAUAAAUAUAUAUCAUUGAUGCGUCCCGUCCAGUUGAACAACUGGAACAAUUCUCGUUUUGAUAUGUCUUCAGGGAGGUUACUCAUAAAAACGGUGAAGGACUCAUUCUCCAGUCGCCAAUACUCCUCUCGGUUCCAAACCCUAGGAUCCUUGUCAUGUUCCCUAGAUCUACCCCUCCCAGUGUUUCCCACCCAGACUCUCGCUCUCUCCCUCUCUCGCUCUCUGUCUCUCAUUCUAAGUUAUAUACUCUCAAUAUCCAUCAUCGGUUAUUUGAUUCACUAUUUCCUAUAUAGUGUAGUGUAAGAUCCAAUGGCUUGUAGGAUUGGUCAACAAGACAUUCUUAUUUCUUAGUAAAAUAAGAAGAUGUUAUUGGUUUUUUGGAUCUCAUUUGUUACUUUUGUGGCUACUAAUGAAUACUAAGUUUACUUUUGUGGCUUCAUGUUUGGUUUCUAUCCUUUUUAACUCUCAUUUUUCUUUUUCUUCUUGUAGAAAGGUCUAGCUCUCUGAACUUCAAAGAAAGUUGGCUAUGUUGAUGACUAUAACAAAAGAGAUCAUUGCCAUUGAGUUUAAAUUAUUAAUUUUUUUAUUAUUUUUAUAUAUAAACAGGUCUAGCUAAGGGUGUUACUGUUGGAAUAUCUAUAGCUGGAAUAAGUGAGGUUCUACCAUUAUUAAUUUGUGCUUGUGUUAGAUAUUUCCAGAAGAAGGAAGAAGAAAAAAUUAAAUUGCCAAUAAAAGAUUUUAUAUCAAGUUCAACCCAAGAUGCUAACUGUAUUUUAUUGAAAUUCUAGGCUUCUUAAUCUACUAUUUGUUUCUUUCUAGUUGAUUAAGUUAUAUUAACUAUGAUACCAUGUUAAAAUGUUUAAUGAAUUAAUUAUGUUGUGAUCAUGAAUUCAUAAUAAUAACACUUUUUGUUUCUUUCUUCCUUAUCCUUAUAAAGCAUCUAGCAGUGGUGAAUAUGAAACUUCAGGAUCCACAGCUGCUAGUUCUCUUGGCCUUCUAGCAAUUAUGGCGGAAAAUUUGGUGGAAUUCUCUUAUCAAGAACUAGCCAAGGCUACAAAUAACUUCAGCUCUGAUAACAAAAUUGGUCAGGGUGGAUUUAGAGCUGUCUAUUUUGCAGAAUUGAAAGACCAAGUAAGAACAAGCCAAUUAUAUCUUUGAUGGAAGUUGUAGUCAUAUCAUCUUUGAUUGUUUUUGUUCUGUUACAGAUGAAAAACUUCACAAAGGAAGAGAUUCUUUGGAAAAAGUGAGAAACAUUUGAAUUCUGAAAUAACAAUCAUUUGUAUAUACACCGGUGCACACGGAAAAAGAAACGAAUUUGUUUGUAAGAAUAAUUCAAUAUUUCAAUUGAAACUAGUUGAGACUGAACUUGUGGAAACUGUAUAUGAUUAGAAAAAUGAUUGUGAAAACAAAUUAAUAUUCAUUAUGAAAAAAUGUUCCUAAUUAUACGGGAAUGUCAAAAAAAUAAUCUAAUUUACUAGUGAUUGGGCAUGAAAAAUGAAAUAGAGGUAGGAAUGUGCGUGGACCUCGUGCGGUGGCUGAUACAGCAAAGGAGAGAGAGAGAGAGAGAGAGAGAGAGAGAGAGAGAGAGAGAGAGAGAGAGAGCAGAAUCCGGGGCAUGCUGUGUGUUGUGAACACUUGUUUGUUUCUUCCUUCCCCCUAACUGACUAAGGCAACCCAUCCAUCCAUUCCUCUUUAGCUCAGAUCAGAUCAGAUUAGAUUUACGCAAAACCAAAAUUCAUAUUUAUUUUUUCUUCUCUUUAUGUUAUCAGUUACCUAUGCCAAUUCAAUCAAAAAUGGCUCUCACAUCUGCAGAGUCUAUAAAGGCCAGAGGUCAGCCUUUGUUUAACUUGUAUAUUGAUUGAUUGAUAGAUAUAAUAGAGAGAUCUGAAUUUGAUUGAAUAUGGUUUCUCUCUUCUUUCUCUACCACCAAGCUUGGCUCGAUUGCUAUUCAAGGUAAGUAACAAGGAAAACCUCUCUCUCUCUCUCUCUCUCUAUCUAUUUUGUUAGAAACUGAAUUGGAACAUGUGUAAGUACUCUGAAAAAGGCCAAUGUUGAUCUAUCAUCACUUGUGGAAGAAGUCUUCUUUGGGAAUGUUAUUAGUGCUAAUGUGGAGCAAGUUCCUGCAAGACAAGCAGCCUUAGGAGCAGGAAUACCCAAUUCAGUUGUCUGCACCGCUGUCAACAAAGUUUGCACCUCCGGAAUGAAAGGCAUGGGAUCAAGAACUUCGCUUUUCCAUGGUUGAUGGAGACUUUAAGAAGUUUGAUGGCAAAUGGUCUGUAAAGUCUUUUUAUUUGAGAAUAUG